UACGUGGGGGGCAAGCGUUGUUCGGAAUUACUGGGCGUAAAGGGCGCGUAGGCGGCCUGUUAAGUCGAACGUGAAAUCCCCGGGCUCAACCCGGGAACUGCGUCCGAUACUGGCAGGCUUGAAUCCGGGAGAGGGAGGUGGAAUUCCACGUGUAGCGGUGAAAUGCGUAGAGAUGUGGAGGAACACCGAUGGCGAAGGCAGCCUCCUGGGACAACACUGACGCUCAUGCACGAAAGCGUGGGGAGCAAACAGG
rnacentral:rRNA from 1 species